GUAAAAAUAAACUAAUAUAAGUUGUUUGGUUCAUGCCCAGAAUAUAGGGGUUUCCCCUUUUUUACA
rnacentral:tRNA from 1 species